UUUUUAAGUCUGAUGUGAAAGCCCUCGGCUUAACCGAGGAAGCGCAUCGGAAACUGGGAAACUUGAGUGCAGAAGAGGACAGUGGAACUCCAUGUGUAGCGGUGAAAUGCGUAGAUAUAUGGAAGAACACCAGUGGCGAAGGCGGCUGUCUGGUCUGUAACUGACGCUGAGGCUCGAAAGCAUGGGUAGCGAACAGGAUUAGAUACCCUGGUAGUCCAUGCCGUAAACGAUGAAUGCUAGGUGUUGGAGGGUUUCCGCCCUUCAGUGCCGCAGCUAACGCAUUAAGCAUUCCGCCUGGGGAGUACGACCGCAAGGUUGAAACUCAAAGGAAUUGACGGGGGCCCGCACAAGCGGUGGAGCAUGUGGUUUAAUUCGAAGCAACGCGAAGAACCUUACCAGGUCUUGACAUCUUUUGAUCACCUGAGAGAUCAGGUUUCCCCUUCGGGGGCAAAAUGACAGGUGGUGCAUGGUUGUCGUCAGCUCGUGUCGUGAGAUGUUGGGUUAAGUCCCGCAACGAGCGCAACCCUUAUGACUAGUUGCCAGCAUUUAGUUGGGCACUCUAGUAAGACUGCCGGUGACAAACCGGAGGAAGGUGGGGAUGACGUCAAAUCAUCAUGCCCCUUAUGACCUGGGCUACACACGUGCUACAAUGGAUGGUACAACGAGUUGCGAGACCGCGAGGUCAAGCUAAUCUCUUAAAGCCAUUCUCAGUUCGGACUGUAGGCUGCAACUCGCCUACACGAAGUCGGAAUCGCUAGUAAUCGCGGAUCAGCACGCCGCGGUGAAUACGUUCCCGGGCCUUGUACAC
rnacentral:rRNA from 2 species